rnacentral:lncRNA from 1 species
AAAAAAUUACAUGGAUUAGAACACUUUUCCUUUGAGAGCAAACAUAUUAAAACCAAAGUACUCCCAGGAGCCAGUCAGAGCAUGGAUGAUAUCCCAAGGAACCAAUCAGAAGUCAGAGUAUACACACAUCACCAGCCAAAAGAGCGGGAAAACGCGUUGACCUAGUUGCAGGUCAACGUGGAAUUCACGAUUGUUUUCGACACACCAAUCUUGGAUGAUUGUUUUCAAUCAUACCUCGAGAAAAGUCAUCUCUUCCUCCACAAAUUUUUAUAAGGGUACAAAGCAUAAUCAUAAAUUCGUGAGUUACUCUUACAAAAUAGUUGUAUGCAGCUCAGAUAUUUCUAUCCAAACACCUAUUUCAAAGCCUCUCAAAUUUAUCAUUGAUAAUACUAGCAGACACUGCGCACGCUUGCAUUCUAUUGGUUGAUAACUGCUCGCGCGCUUUCAUCAUUUUGGCUUACAAUUGCUUUAGCACUUCUACCUCAUUGGCUAGUAAUCACGUACGCAAAAAUUCGGUUUGUUACGUCAUAAUCGAUAGAUUUUCUCUCAGUCAAAGCAAUGAUCAAGGCAAAGAGACGUUCUUGAUCAUAAAUUUCUAUAAAACCCUCUUUAAAUUGUUGUACACUGGUAAGAAUUUAAAAUGGGAGUUAGUGUGAGUUAUUACCAAUCCAGGGAAGAAGAUUACACUGAGGCAAAAAGUAAUACAUGUAGAAAAUCAAAUCGCUUUUUCCAAAUGAAGAAUAAAGUUCUUCCUUCUGAAAAAACCGUCAAUCUUCAAGAAAUCAAGCUUAAUAUGAGCGAAGAAUGGAAGCUGCCAGAUAAGAAAUAAAGGCCUGCAAUCUGAGCAAAAUAAUUGAAGAGGAGGAUAACGAUGACAAAAACGCAUAUAAACUGUCCACAUGGCUACUGAUACUUCUAAGGUAACUCAAGUAGCUACAAAGUAAAGUUAUAAAGGCACAACAACGAUUCU